CCUACGGGUGGCAGCAGUGGGGAAUAUUGCACAAUGGGGGAAACCCUGAUGCAGCGACGCCGCGUGAAGGAAGAAGGAUUUCGGUAUGUAAACUUCUAUCAGCAGGGAAGAAAAUGACGGUACCUGACUACGAAGCCCCGGCUAACUCCGUGCCAGCAGCCGCGGUAAUACGUAGGGGGAACGCGUUAUCUGGAAUUACUGGGUGUAAAGGGAGCGUAGGAGGUUUAGCAAGUCGGAAGUGAAAGCCCGGGGCUCAACUCCGGGACUGCUUUUGAAACUGGUGGACUAGAGUGCAGGAGAGGUAAGUGGAAGUCCAAGUGUAGCGGUGAAAUGCGUAGAUAUUAGGAGGAACACCAGUGGCGAAGGCGGCAUACUGGACUGAAAAUGACGCUGAGGCUCGAAAGCGUGGGGAGCAAACAGGAUUAGAUACCCUAGUAGUC
rnacentral:rRNA from 1 species